rnacentral:tRNA from 1 species
GGCGGACGUAGCCAAGUGGAUUAAGGCAGUGGAUUGUGGAUCCUCCAUGCGCGGGUUCAAUUC